rnacentral:rRNA from 1 species
UACAGAGGGUGCGAGCGUUGUUCGGAAUUACUGGGCGUAAAGCGCGCGCAGGCGGCCUUUUAAGUCUGACGGUGAAAUGCCGGGGCUCAACCCCGUGCCCGCCGCGGAUACUGGGAGGCUGGAGACAUGUAGAGGCAAGCAGAAUUCCGGGUGUAGCGGUGGAAUGCGUAGAGAUCCGGAAGAACACCGGAGGCGAAGGCGGCUUGCUGGGCAUUGUCUGACGCUGAGGCGCGAAAGCGUGGGGAGCGAACAGG